UACGGAGGGUGCAAGCGUUAUCCGGAUUUAUUGGGUUUAAAGGGUCCGUAGGCGGAUCUGUAAGUCAGUGGUGAAAUCUCACAGCUUAACUGUGAAACUGCCAUUGAUACUGCAGGUCUUGAGUGUUAUUGAAGUAGCUGGAAUAAGUAGCGUAGCGGUGAAAUGCAUAGAUAUUACUUAGAACACCAAUUGCGAAGGCAGGUUACUAAGCAACAACUGACGCUGAUGGACGAAAGCGUGGGGAGCGAACAGG
rnacentral:rRNA from 1 species